UUCAGAAGACUGUAGGAAAUGCAGUUGCUGCUGGAAGCCUAAUAAAUCUUGCAACUAUCUUGUAUAUUAAUUCCAUUCGAUUUCCUGCCAUUGUAGCAUAUGUCUUGUGUGCAUUUUUCGGCCUUCAGGUUCUCAUAGGCAUCAUUAAGGUAAAGAAGUUUGAUGAGCGGGAGAGGUUGAUAACGGGAACUGCUUAAACAAUUG